rnacentral:rRNA from 1 species
UACGUAGGUGGCAAGCGUUGUCCGGAUUUAUUGGGUUUAAAGGGUGCGUAGGCGGCAUUUUAAGUCAGUGGUGAAAUACUUCAGCUCAACUGGAGAGGUGCCAUUGAUACUGGGAUGCUUGAGUACUGAUGAGGUAGGCGGAAUGGACGGUGUAGCGGUGAAAUGCUUAGAUAUCGUCCAGAACACCGAUAGCGAAGGCAGCUUACUAAGGAGUAACUGACGCUGAGGUGCGAAAGCGUGGGGAGCAAACAGG